rnacentral:tRNA from 1 species
AGUGAAAUGCCUGAAAAAAAGGAGUAUCAUGAUAGGAUAAAUUAUGUAAUUUACGUUACUUUUACUA